UGUCUGUGUGUGUGUAUAUAUGUCUGUACACACACAGUAGUUCCACUUAAUCUAUGCUUUCACUUUCCAAGGUCUUAGUUACCCUCAGUCAGCUGCAGUUCAAAAAUAUUAAAAUGAAAAUUCCACAAAUAAACAAAAGUUUUAAACUGUGUGCUGUUCUGAGUAGCAUGAUGAAAUCUCAAGCAGUCCGCUUCAGUCCCUCAAGGGAGGUGAAUCAUCCCUUUGUCUAGCGAUCACACUGUCUAUGUUCCCUGCCCUCCCCUCGUGAUAGUCACUUAGCAGCCAUCUCUGGGAUCAGAUGGGCUGUCAUGGUAUCACAGUGCUGCAUUCAGAACCCAGAAACACAAUCAUCACAAGAAGUUCUACAGUAUAUGACGUAACUGUGUCUUUGUUGAAACUCAUUUACCUUUAUUACUAAAAAAUUAUUGUCAUCUAGAAUUUUCAUUUAUAUUAGUUUUAUUUAUUGUCCUGAGGAGAAUUUUUCCUGUCAAGUGGUAAAGGAAAUGUUCAUCAUUUAUGAAUAAAAUGUUAUUUAAUCUAAUGAGUUAAA